GGAUAUGAGGGGUGACAUCUGCCACCCCACUGAUUGCCAGAGUUGAUUUGGCUGAUCUGGCUAGUGAGGCAGCUGUCCCCUUUUCUUAUCACCACUCCAUCUAUAUCUAUCCUAAAGCUGAGCACUCCGUUGAACAGGAUGACCUUCCAACACAGAGGAAGAUGGACCUUUGGUAAAGGGUAUAUGAGUGUCUGUGCUCCCUGAGAAACCUCCAAGCAAGAAAGUUGAGACACAAAAAUACUGCUUAAUGCUGCCAUUUCAUUAAAAACUUCUCUAAAUGCAAUUAGCU
ensembl:misc_RNA 7SK 7SK RNA